GACGAACGCUGGCGGCGUGCUUAACACAUGCAAGUCGAACGAUGAACCAGGGCUUGCCCUGGGAAUUAGUGGCGAACGGGUGAGUAACACGUGGGCAACCUGCCCCUGACUCUGGGAUAACUCCGGGAAACCGGGGCUAAUACCGGAUAUGAGCCUUGACGACAUCGUCGAGGUUGGAAAGUUUUUCGGUCAGGGAUGGGCCCGCGGCCUAUCAGCUUGUUGGUGGGGUAAUGGCCUACCAGGGCGACGACGGGUAGCCGGCCUGAGAGGGCGACCGGCCACACUGGGACUGAGACACGGCCCAGACUCCUACGGGAGGCAGCAGUGGGGAAUAUUGCGCAAUGGGCGAAAGCCUGACGCAGCGACGCCGCGUGAGGGACGACGGCCUCGGUUGUAACC
rnacentral:rRNA from 1 species